CUUUUUGUUAGGUUUUAUCAAAAUAUUGUUAGGGCGAAAUAAAAAGGGAGUAGUUUAUAGGUAAUCGAAAUCUUUGUAAAAGCUAUAGGGAGAGUACUGUGAAGGAAAGUUGAAAUAAAAAUGUUUAUACUAAAUAUCAAGAAAGAAGGAGUUAAUAACCGUACCUUUUGUAUGAUGGUCCGGUGAGAAGGUUUUGGUCGGGUUGGUUACUUGUUCCCGAAGCUAGGUGAGCUAAUGUACUCUGGUUGUAGAAUCUAGGCUAUUACUGUUACAGUAGUAAGGUUUGAGGGUACAUUAGGUGUGAGAUGCUUAUCGCGCCUAGGUAUGGCUGGUUCCUCUGGAAAGUGGUUUCAGCUCGGUUCACUCAUUCACUGGGAAAAUCGUAUUUAAUUUUAAUAAAGUGUAGUUUUCUGGUGUAGGGGUGAAAAGUAGACAGGGGGGGAUUAGCUCCCCUGUCUAGUGAGAAAAAGCUCUCCCUGUGGGAUAAGGAUAUGGUUGUUAAAUGUGUUUUUUCUAAUGUAAAGUAGGAUUAAUAACAUCUAUCUUUGUGGAGGGCGUUAAAGCCCUUCUUUGUUCUAAAAAUACAUAUAAUUUUGUAAGGAUGGAGGUUCUUAUUCUGCAGGUUUUUAUAGAGGUUCCUCAUUGUUGUGGGAAAUACUGCUGGAAUUAGUAGGAUUGGGAAAAACCGGUUGUGUUUUAAACAUGCCUAAUUUUGGAUGGGCUAGACUUUUGAUGUCAAGAAGCUAAGUUAUUUUUGUUGUCUUUCUGACACAAGUGGUUUUAUAAAGAGCGAAAGCAGAGUGAAGGAACUCGGCAAAUGAAGAUUUCGCCUGUUUACCAAAAACAUCGCCCCCUGGUAAAGUUGUCUGAAGGAUAGGGGGUACUGCCUGCCCGGUGACUUGAGUUAAACGGCCGCGGUAUUUUGACCGUGCGAAGGUAGCAUAAUCAUUUGCCUUUUAAAUGGAGGCUGGUAUGAAUGGCAAGACGGGGGUCUAGCUGUCUUCAUUCUGUGAAUUUGAAGUUAAUUUUUUUGUGAAGAAGCAGAGAUAAAGCCGCGGGACGAGAAGACCCUGUCGAGCUUAAGCGAGUUUUGUGUAGCUUUUGAUGGGGCCUUCUUGUGCUAAUACUAGUCCCAUGGAUUAGGUAAAUUUACUUAGGGUUGGCUUUAGGCUUAUACAGACUGUUUGGGUUGGGGCAACCGCGGAGAAUAAGUAUCCUCCGCUAAAGUUGACUAAGAAAGGUGGUAGUUUUCUGGUACAGUUGUUUAGUGUGACCCGCCAGAUUGGGCGAUUAAAAGAAUAAGUUACCGCAGGGAUAACAGCGUAAUUUCUUUAGAGAGUUCGUAUUGAGAAAGAAGUUUGCGACCUCGAUGUUGGAUCGAGAUUUCCUGGGGGUGCAGCAGCUCCUAAGGGUUGGUCUGUUCGACCAUUAAAAUCUUACGUGAUCUGAGUUCAGACCGGCGGGAGCCAGGUCAGUUUCUAUCUACGGCUAUUAGUUACUCUCCUUAGUACGAAAGGAUUGGGGGGGUGGUACCAAUGCUUAAUGGUAAGUACUAAUUUUAGUAGUCCUGCUAAAAAAUAAAGGAG
rnacentral:rRNA from 1 species